GAUGAACGUUGGCGGUGUGCCUAAUACAUGCAAGUCGAACGGAGACUGUAGCAAUACUGUCUUAGUGGCGAACGGGUGAGUAACGCGUUGGUGAUCUGCCUCGAAGUGUGGAAUAACCUCCCGAAAGGGAAGCUAAUACCGCAUAGUCUCUCAAGGUUUAGAAAAUUGAGAGUAAAGGAUUUAUUCGCUUCGAGAGGAGCCUGCGUCCCAUCAGCUAGUUGGUAGGGUAACGGCCUACCAAGGCAAUGACGGGUAGGGGACCUGAGAGGGUGGCCCCCCACAAUGGAACUGAAACACGGUCCAUACACCUACGGGUGGCAGCAGUAGGGAAUAUUGGUCAAUGGGCGGAAGCCUGAACCAGCCAUCCCGCGUGAAGGAAGACAGCCUUACGGGUUGUAAACUUCUUUUCUGUCAGAAGAAUAAGCUUGUCGAGACGAGUGAUGCCGGUAUGACAGGAAUAAGCAUCGGCUAACUCCGUG
rnacentral:rRNA from 1 species